GAUGAACGCUGGCGGCGUGCCUAAUACAUGCAAGUCGAGCGAACAGACGAGGAGCUUGCUCCUUUGACGUUAGCGGCGGACGGGUGAGUAACACGUGGGUAACCUACCUAUAAGACUGGGAUAACUUCGGGAAACCGGAGCUAAUACCGGAUAAUAUUUCGAACCGCAUGGUUCGAUAGUGAAAGAUGGCUUUGCUAUCACUUAUAGAUGGACCUGCGCCGUAUUAGCUAGUUGGUAAGGUAACGGCUUACCAAGGCAACGAUACGUAGCCGACCUGAGAGGGUGAUCGGCCACACUGGAACUGAGACACGAUCCAGACUCCUACGGGAGGCAGCAGUAGGGAAUCUUCCGCAAUGGGCGAAAGCCUGACGGAGCAACGCCGCGUGAGUGAUGAAGGUCUUCGGAUCGUAAAACUCUGUUAUUAGGGAAGAACAAACGUGUAAGUAACUGUGCACGUCUUGACGGUACCUAAUCAGAAAGCCACGGCUAACUACGUG
rnacentral:rRNA from 1 species